AGUUCAGCACUCUGUACAGACGUUAACGCUGCUGCAUAUAGAACAGAACGUCGGAAAAGCGUUAAGGGGGUUUUACAGCGAAAGCUGUAUAUCGCUAGAAGAACCGAAAAACCGUCCGCCACGAGAAACGGCGCGCUGCCGAGACCGCUCGUAGCAGUUCCAACUUACAACUUCCACAUGGGGAGGGCACGGAUCGUACGAACACUCGAACAGCAGGCAACUUCCGAAGAACAACCCCGACAGCUGAUGCAUGGGAGAAUUAAUGUUCGCCGGGAUGAUGCAGCGCUCCAUGCAGAAGAACAAGCACGGAUGGCGAAGCAAAAGCAGCGACUGCACACCCCGGAUUCGGCAGCCUUUCGAACCGAAUGAAAGCGACAACGGCGAGCCGAGAAAGUGGCGAAGCAGGCAGAGCAACGUGAACGCGUCAAUGGCGGAAACGCGUUUGCCGGGACCGACGCCCGCUUACGGCGGGAGUUUCUCCAGCGGCCACAUGUUUCAGCUUCACUGAUUAACCAUUUGUACAGAAUGCUUUGGUGGUGAUAUUUUUUAACUUGCCUUAUGCAUAUUCUCGAGUCGCAGAACUUUAAAGCUUAAUUAGUACAUCGUUAACUGUCUUAGUCACGACGAAAGAAAUAAAUAAAUCUUCAA